rnacentral:rRNA from 1 species
ACUCCUACGGGAGGCAGCAGUGGGGAAUAUUGCACAAUGGGCGCAAGCCUGAUGCAGCCAUGCCGCGUGUGUGAAGAAGGCCUUCGGGUUGUAAAGCACUUUCAGUCGUGAGGAAGGUAGUGUAGUUAAUAGCUUGCUAUAUUUUGACGUUAGCGACAGAAGAAGCACCGGCUAACUCCGUGCCAGCAGCCGCGGUAAUACGGAGGGUGCGAGCGUUAAUCGGAAUUACUGGGCGUAAAGCGCAUGCAGGUGGUUUGUUAAGUCAGAUGUGAAAGCCCGGGGCUCAACCUCGGAAUUGCAUUUGAAACUGGCAGACUAGAGUACUGUAGAGGGGGGUAGAAUUUCAGGUGUAGCGGUGAAAUGCGUAGAGAUCUGAAGGAAUACCGGUGGCGAAGGCGGCCCCCUGGACAGAUACUGACACUCAGAUGCGAAAGCGUGGGGAGCAAACAGGAUUAGAUACCCUGGUAGGAUAGCGU